ACAGCCUUUCAAAACAUGUACAACCGAACUUCGCUCCGAAUCGUUUUUCGUUAGCAACAAAUUCUCCUCUACAUCCUUCCCCCCCCAAUUUCUCACGGUUAGGUGACCCACUGGUGUGUAGUAUGUCCGUCUAUUUUAGGAUGGCUUUUAAACUCGUUGAAAAAAUUGAUUUACUAUCCAGCUCUAAUUUUCUUACUGGACCGCUAAAUUCACAAUGGGCGCCCGGCGAUUGAUUUUAAACUGAGAUUUUUCGCGUGCCUCGGAGCAUAUGUCCUGUAAGUGUUGGUAUCUAAUAAGCAGAAAAGAAAAAAAAAUCA